GAUGAACGCUGGCGGCGUGCCUAAUACAUGCAAGUCGAGCGAACAGACGGGGAGCUUGCUCCUCUGACGUUAGCGGCGGACGGGUGAGUAACACGUGGAUAACCUACCUCUAAGACCGGGAUAACUUCGGGAAACCGGAUCUACUACCGGAGAAUAUAUUGAACCGCAUGGUUCAAUAGUGAAAGACAGUUUUGCUGACACUUAUAGAUGGAUCCGCGCCGCAUUAGCUAGUUGGUAAGGUAACAGCCUACCAAGGAAACGAUGCGUAGCCGACCUGAGAGGGUGAUCGGCCACACUGGAACUGAGAAACGGUCCAGACUCCUACGGGAGGCAGCAGUAGGGAAUCUUCCGCAAAGGGCGAAAGCCUGACGGAGCAACGCCGCGUGAGUGAUGAAGGUCUUCGGAUCGUAAAACUCUGUUAUUAGGGAAGAAAAAAUGUGUAAGUAACUAUGCACGUCUUGACGGUACCCAAACAGAAAGCCACGGCUAACUACGUG
rnacentral:rRNA from 1 species